UCGCGGCUUAUCACCGGCAGUCCCCUUAGAGUGCCCAACUGAAUGAUGGCAACUAAGGGCGAGGGUUGCGCUCGUUGCGGGACUUAACCCAACAUCUCACGACACGAGCUGACGACAGCCAUGCAGCACCUGUGUUCCCGCCAGCCGAACUGAAGAACUCCAUCUCUGGAACCCACGCGGGACAUGUCAAGGGCUGGUAAGGUGGGGAUGACGUUUGAGAGUACGUCC
rnacentral:misc_RNA from 1 species